GGCUCGAUUGCGGAGGGUCCGCGCCUGCAUUCACUGUGAGUUCAAUAGUACAACCGUACACGUAUUAUGUAGGAGACGCCCGUUCGACCCGGGCUCGAGCCA